rnacentral:tRNA from 1 species
CCAGCUGUAGCAUAAUUGGUUAAUGUAGUAGUCUUGGGCGCUAUUGAUUGUAAGUUCGAGUCUUACCAGCUGGA